AGUGAACGCUGGCGGUAGGCCUAACACAUGCAAGUCGAACGGCAGCACAGUAAGAGCUUGCUCUUACGGGUGGCGAGUGGCGGACGGGUGAGGAAUACAUCGGAAUCUACUUUUUCGUGGGGGAUAACGUAGGGAAACUUACGCUAAUACCGCAUACGACCUACGGGUGAAAGCAGGGGAUCUUCGGACCUUGCGCGAUUGAAUGAGCCGAUGUCGGGUUAGCUAGUUGGCGGGGUAAAGGCCCACCAAGGCGACGAUCCGUAGCUGGUCUGAGAGGAUGAUCAGCCACACUGGAGCUGAGACACGGUCCAGACUCCUACGGGAGGCAGCAGUGGGGAAUAUUGGACAAUGGGCGCAAGCCUGAUCCAGCCAUACCGCGUGGGUGAAGAAGGCCUUCGGGUUGUAAAGCCCUUUUGUUGGGAAAGAAAAGCAGCAGGUUAAUACCCCGCUGUUCUGACGGUACCCAAAGAAUAAGCACCGGCUAACUUCGUG
rnacentral:rRNA from 1 species